rnacentral:lncRNA from 1 species
UUUUGGCAGCGGUUGUUUGGGGAGGUUGAGUAUUCCCACUGGCAUUACCAUCGGCAGUAUAUGCUGGAGCCUGAGUAUAACCAGCACCAUAAGAACUGUUGCUGUAUGGAGGUGGUGCCUGACCAUAUGCAGGCUGACCACCCUGAGGUGCACCAUAUGUUUGAGAACCAUACCCUGGUUGCCCUGCACCAUAUCCCGAAGGUGGUGCUCUCUGAGCACCAGAUUCUGGUUGGGGUUGAGAAUAACCGGAAGGUGGAGGCUGCGCAGGAUAUGCUGACUGACCAUAGCCUCCUACCGCACUAGGUGACUGCGACUGUCCAUAAACAGGAGGAUUACCACUUGGCUUUUGAGAUUGUGGGGCUCCAUAACCAGGUCCGUAACCUGGCUGUGGUUGACUUCCAUAAGCAGCUUGGGAUGUAGGUGGAACCCCAUAACCUGACUGAGGAGUUCCCUGAGGUGGGUAGCUAGCAGUGUUUGAGCUGGGCUGUUGGCUGGUAGGAUAACCUUGCUGUGGCUGUUGGGUAGAUGGAGCUUGGGCUGAAUCUCCCUGUGAAGCAUAGCUCGCAGUGUGGCCCUCUUGUGCUGGGUUACUGCCACUACCAUAGCCAGUAACGGAGCCAUAGCCUUGCUGCUGAUCAUAUGUUGGUGGUUGUCCAUACCCUGAUUGAGAUUGUGCAUUAUAUGCAUUAUAGCUGUCCUGAGCAUAACCCUGUCCGGGUUGGCUAUAACCAGAAGAAGGUGGUUGACUAUAAUUGUAUGCAGAGCCAUCAGCUGGAGGUGCAGGACCUCCAGGAUUUUGUGGUUGCUGUGGCUGUUGACUAUAGUAAUCAUAGCCACCAGCAUGAGUUGACUGUUGGUGAGAUGGUGCAGAAGACUGGUCCCAAUUGGUGGAAUAUCCACCUGGUUGUUGGGGAGGAUAGCCCGAAUAUUGUUGCUGAGGCAUGUUAUACUGAGGUGAUGGACCAGAAUAUGCUCCAGGUUGCACAUAUCCAUAACCAGGUUGCUGCAUUGGUGCAGGGGGGGCCCAGUUAGAGGGUGGUCGAGAUUGGUAACCUUGCUGAGGAUACCCACCAGACAUUGAAGGAUUUCUAAGACGAUUCUGUGGAUUCAAAUUGAAAACCAAAAUAAAGGGAGUGAGUUCACCCAAAUUUCCACACAAGACAAGUAUAGGAAGCAACAUAUGCACACAUACACAGGUUAAACUUACAAAUGCAAAAAUCAACAUGUAAUGAACACGAGAUAAAGGGUAUAUAUAUUAUCUUGCAUUAACGGGUUGCAUACAUGAUCAGAAAGGGAUACGAAUACCUACAUACCGUACUGGUUCGUGAUAAAACUGAGUUACUCCAGCAGAAGCACACCCUUUCCCUAUUCGAAUUGAAUGGGUACAAAAGAAAGCACAGACCAUAGAAGCAAACAAUCAUUCAAUAUUUAUUGCCUUGAAAAGGCAAUCCAUCAUAUAGUAUAUCAAUAUGCAAUAUCUUACUCCAAUUGUUACACUAUACAAUAUAUCAUUCAUAUUCAUAUUAAUUCAACAAGAGUGACUGGACUACAGAUAUUUCACACCCUAUUAAGAUGAAUGCGCAACUCCAAAUUCAAAUAUACAGACUGUUGAAACAACUUUUCUGUGCUCCCAUGUACAUUCUCUCAUCCUUUGUACAACCCAUUCUAAUAGUCCAACCUCGGGAUCAUCAGUUAAAAACAAUAAAAUUAAAUAUUAUUUUAAUGGAACAUGAAUUAGAAAGAAAAGAAAAAUAAUUGAAUGAGGCAGAACAGAAGUGGCACAAAAUGUAUAACAGACAAAUCUUAAUAGAAAUCUUAAACAUAACUGGUUAGUUAAGAAAACUAUUUAACACUGGACAAGAAUAAUAAAACUGGACAAGAAUAAUAGUAUAGGGAAAAUAAUUAAAGUGCUGAACGACGGACAAAUUUCAGGUUACCUAUGCCAAAUGUAAGUCCAGUAUAAGAUACGAGGAUAAAAUACUACUCCAAGUACACUAAGGUUCUUUUUAGAAAUAAACUGAAAAGCACAAGAGACCUAGUUGAAAACUAUUUCAACAUAAUUCAACAUUGAGUCUAAUAAUGACACUAUAGUCAAAAAGUAUUAGUAGGAGACUUACUGCCCUUGAUAAUAAAUAUCAAAACUGAGAUUUAGAACCAUACCAGGGCAUGCUGAGGGAACACCAACAAAAGGAUUCAUGUUGGUGUCACCAAUGGUCCAAUAGACACUAACCCUACAACAGUCCCAAUAACAAUAUCAGUCAUAGGAUACACAAUUAAUAAGCAUAUUCCACUGUCGAAAGGUUAUAAUCUCAAUGAGUAUCCAUCUGGCCCAAAAAUAUUUCAUAAUAACAGUAGCCUUCAGAGCACCAGGAAUCUAAACCAACAAAAACAAUGAAAGACGCACCUCACCAAAGCACUGGGCUAAGUGAAAAACACAAUUAAAAUACGGUCUUUGUAAAUAUAUGGUAUCUUGGUCAAGAAAACUGACAGGCCAAUUCUAAAAUAUUGCUACCAACGUCCUUGAUUCGUGGAUGUAUAAAAGAGAUAAUGGCUAAGACGUAUUAGCUAAUUAUAUAGAGCAGACUACACAUACACAAACAUAAAGACACAGUUGACAAGUCAGACCCUGAAAGUUCAUCAUGACCAUCACCUAAUCCUAGACUAAACAUAAAGGAAGAUGCGUAUUGCUAAUAUAUCAAGACUGUUAAUCGAACAAGAUACCAUACAAUUGUUAACAACAUUAUACAGCUAAUAAUUGAUGGCUAUAGCAGUGAACGGUCUCACUAAUCAUGUUUCCACUUGGCCAGCUGACGCAACAACACUGAGGAGUUGGAGAUUACAAGCAAGAACAUCGUAACAGCCAUUAGUCUUCUACCUUUGUGCAUUAUUUUGCAUAAGUCUUGAAACACUUGCACAAUAUGAAAAUAUGUACUAAUUUUCUUUUGAGAACAAUACAGUAGGUAACAGAGAUCCGAAUAAUAUUAAUGUAUCAUAUAAUAAAGACCACUUGUUAAAGGCACAUUAGGCUCUGAAAAAAUUUCUACUUCCUUAAACAUACUCUAUCAUCUAAGCUGCUUUGGAAGAGAGAUCAAUGCAUCCCGAAUAUGCAUCAAGUUACUAAUAAUUGUCAUACAGCUAAGCUGCUUCGGUCCAGAUCAAAACAUCAAUAAUAUACAAUGUAUAAUAAUGGUCACAGUGUUAUGCUGUAUCAAUAAUAAGAUCAAGGAAUUAAUUAAUAUGAACAGAAUAAAUGUCAUUUAUGCAAAACUAAAGUGAAAACCAUCACAUGAUUUACCAAAACUAUUUUUUCCCUGCAAAGGAACAAAUCGGAGAGUACAAAAAUCAUGUAUCAUGUUACAGGAAUCAAUCAGAUCUAACUUUAUAUUUUAAUAUCAUAAAAAAUAAAAAGACCCAACAGGCAAUGACAAGCACACCGUAUUCAUCUCACAAUAACAUAAAGCUUGCACGUAAAUCAACCUAGUUUGAUCAAACAGUCUAGAUGAUAAAUAGAUUGUGCAACAUACAGAGUACAAAACCCAGUAGAAAAACAGCAAUUUUAAACACUAGACUAGACUUGGCCUUACCAGGCAGAUAUGCCUAAGCCAAAUCUGGCAAAAAGAAGCACCAUUAACAUACCUCGCCACUGAUGAUUUGAUUAACCAACUCCUUUGCAGACUCAAUUUGCUCAGGUGUCCCAUCAACUUUUAAUGUUCUUUCAGUUGAUGUGUCACCUGGAGGAAGAUGCAGAGGUAUCACCUGAAAAAACAUAUAAACAUUAGCCAAAAGUCAUAAAAGUUGGCCGUUAACACAAUCUCUUUUCAAAUUAGUUGCAAUCACAAAGCUACGGUAAAAAAAAACAUAACAACAAGGCUACACUAACUAUGAUUUAUCACCGAUAUCUAAUACACAAAUAAGAGAACAGCGUUCUAUAUAUCACUUAUAAGUACAAACCUGAAUCCGUGCUCCUGUAGAAGCUUGCAUAUUCUUUAUAGUUUCUCCUCCUUUGCCAAUUAUAAGGCCAACCUGAAGAUGCACACGAUAAACAUAUCAACCCAAAGAGAUAGAAAAAAACAGAUCUGAACACGGAAAUUACGCAUGACAUUGUACAAAGCAUACACUCAUAUCUCCCUUUCACACCUUAUUAUUUGGAAUUCUCAUGACAAAUUCAUCUGACCCAGCUUGUCCAGUCAGUCUUCGAGCAACAAUGCCAGAACCUCCAGAUUCAGCCUGGUACAACAACAGUUGUCAUCGUAUAUAUUGCAAUAAUUAAACAUGUGAGAAAUUUAUCAAGAAACAGACCUCCUUCGUAAGAUUAUCGUAACGUCAAAUCUAUGAUAAACGAAAUUUAAUACAUACAUGAUUCACAGAAAAAAAAAUAGUAUAAAAUGUGAUUAACCUCAGCAAGAACUUCAUUUAUGAGUUUCUCCGCAGAAGCAAUUGCCUCGGGAGUGCCCAUAAGCUCAACCGUUCUUGAAGUAGAAUUAGGGUCGGCGUCCAUAUCGCGAGUAACUUGAAUUUUAGCACCAGACUGCAACUGGAGAUACUUAAUAGUCUCUCCACCUUUGCCAAUAAUCACACCAACCCUGCCGUUAGGGAUAUCGAUCUUCUUGCUCGUUCCUUGGUGACUGUAGGAGACGGGAGGAACGGCUGAGUACUGAGGCUUCGCAUCUACGUUCACGGAAAACAGAGUUUAUAAAACCCUAACCUAAACGAGAAGAAUAGUGGAGCAGAGGGGAUAGCUAGUUACCGUAAGAAUCGAAGCCGGAGGUAGGAGCGCCGUUAUCGGGUUUGGCACGCUUGGCGUCGAGCGGGGGAGGAGGAGCAACGCUGAGGAGGCGAGUGGCGACUUCUUGAGCACGCUGCUUGGCAAGCUCGAUGCCGGUAGCGGGGCCGGCGGAGAAGCCGGUGGGUCUAUCGGAGGAUUGGUCUUCAUACUUGCGUUUGAGGGGCGUAGAGUCGUUGGGAGAUGAAUAGUGGGCUUCGUCCGCCAUUGGCACAAACCCUAAAGACGUUAGGUGUGUAAGAGAGGGUGGUGAUGUUAUUUAUAAUAUAUAGUGGUGGCUAGUGUGACCCCUACCAUGGGUGGGGCAGGGUAGAAAAAAAGGAGAUAUUUUGCAUCCCUUCGCUUGAGGCACCUUUACGUCAUUCAUACAAUUAUACAGAUAAAACUAUUUUUAUCUCUAUUUUUCUAUCUAUCAUCUUAUUAUUUUUAAUUUUUCUAUCUAUUUUUUAUUUUUAAGAUUUUAUAUUUAAGAUAAACAUUUUGAUAUUAUCGGUGUAUCUACUACUAAUUAAUAUUAAUUAACUUUUAAUUUUUUAUAAUUAUAUCUUGUGUUUUUAUUUAAAAUUAACAUGAUUACAUCAUCAAUAAUAAUAAAAAUAAAACUAAUUUAUGUUUAUAGAUUCAACUUUUAUGUUAUUGUAGGGUUUAAUUUUUUAUUUUCUUCAUUUUUAAAAAAUUAAACUAAACAUUUUUAAUUUACUACUUUUUUAUUUUUAUUUUGUAAAAAAUCAUUUUUUUAUUUAUUAAUUAUAUUUCUAACUAUUUAAAACAUUAAAUUAUUUUUUUAAUGCAUUCAAAAAUAAAAUUAUCAAAAAAAUUAAUUUAUUAAUUUUAAUUUUUUUACUUUUGAAAUGGUGUUAGAUAGGGAUAUAAAAAUAAAAGAGUGUUAGGUAAGAAAAUAAAGACAAGUGCGGGAAAAUAAAAAUGUAAAUAGUGUUGUUAUAUGAGGGAUUGAAUCUACAAUUCUCACUUCAUUUCAACUUUUUCGCUGUUUCUUUAAUCAAUAUUUUUUAAUAAUAUUCAUACAAAAAUAAAGGUAAUUUUUUAAUGAUAUGUUUUUUUAUUAACAAUGAUAUAUUUUAUUAAAUAAGAGUUUAUUUGCGAUAUUUUUUGUAAACUUUAUUCGGUUAAAUUGAAAAAAUUAGUAUUGAGUGACUUUUUAUGGAUUUUUAAAAUUAAAAAAAAAAAUAAAGAAGCCUAUAGGAUAAAAAUAAAUAUGUUGCUUAUGGAUUCAGUUGAAAUUAUCUUAAAGAGAAACUUUAUUUGAAUUAGUUAUAAUAAGUUUAUUUAAUUAAUGUAUUAGUAUAUUAACAAUUACCAUAUACAAUUUAGAUAUUGGCAUUCUCAUUAGUAUUUUUUUAAUAUUUUUUACCGUGAGAUCAUACAACUGAUGUAAUGGUCAAGGUUAACGGCCCCACGACCGAUAGUUCAAGUCCAGUUAUGCUCAAUCAAGGUCGACGAAGUUAAUUCGUGAUUAGGAGUCAAGUAAUGCAUCCCUAAGCAUGAUUCAGCCCCUUAACCCGACCCAAUAAAAAAAGUCAAUCAAAGAUAAUAUAAGAUUUGAUUCAAAUAUUAUAUGUGAAACUAAUAUAAGAUUUGAUUAAAAUAUUAUAUGUAAGACUAAUACAAGAUUUAUAAAUAAAAUUUAUGAACUCGACUUUAUAAAUAGAUUAAUUAUAUAUAUACUAAUAGAUGUGAACAUACAUAUUUAAAAUUAUAUAUGACUUUAACUAAAUAUUUAUUUAUUAAAAGUAUUUAUUAUUCUAGCUGAAUCCUGAUAUCGAACAACUUUUUACAAAUACUCCACACGUAUUUAGUACCAAGACUUCUUUGAUACUCUCUGUUUGAAUUGAGGUGGAAAUUUGUGAGGAAGGGAGAUAGUGAAUUGAAGAAGAUUAUGGGGAAUGUGUGAUGUUGUUUGGAUUGAGGGAUGAUAGAGUGGAUUUGUUAUGAUUGUUUAUUAAAAUUUGUAAGUGAUGAGAUAGUUAUGACAUAAUUUAGAAAUUAUUUUAAAGGUGUAAAAUGCAAAUUUACAAAUUUAUCUUUGUCAUUAAAAAAUAUUUUAAUAAUGAGUUAGGUUUUUUUUUUUUGUAAGUUUGAGUUAAUUUUUUUUCUAAUAUAUAAUAUUCAUAAUUACUCUUAUUUUGUAAUACAAAAUAAUUCCGUGUUAAAUUAAAAAAAUAUAUUAAAUAUAUUAAAAUUUAUGAAAAUAAUAUUUAUUAUUAUAUACAUUUGUUAUUUUAUAUAAUUAUAAAUGUUUUGUUGAUAUGUCAAAUAAUAUGAAUAAAUUUAGCAACUUGUUCUUCAACUAUUGAAGGAUAUGCAUCCUUAACAAGUUGCCCUAAUUCGUUUACAUAAUAUUGAAUGAAUGCUUAUGGUUACAUGCGAAUAAUGUCAUGAGAACAUCCCGUGUGCACCAAAUACUCCAUCAAUUAUUGUUUGCAAGUUGAGUAUAUAUUUUCAAUUGUUCUUAUAUUUUUUAAAUGAGAUUCAUGUUCACACGAGCAAUAUCAUUAUAAAUUGCAAUUGUAUCAUCAAAUUCUUCUUUGUCGUUUCAAAGUGGUUUCCAAUUGUUUUCGUUAUCCAUCUAAUAUUUACCUUAUCAUUGACAAUCAUAAAAUAGUUUAUCGAUACACAUCAAAUAAUUUAUGCUACGAAUAACUCUAACCACUUAAAGUUGGAGUUAGUGCAAUAGUACUAAGGUUAAUAUUAGAGUGAUGUGAAGAAUAAUGUUAAGAUUAAGACGCACUUUAAUAUUUAUAAUUAAAUCUAUAAAAAAAACACAUAAAAAUAAACAAAACAGUAAAAAUGUAAAAAAGCAAAUUUAAAUUUAAAUGAUUCACUAUAUCUUGUUAAUAAAAAAAUGUAACACUAAACACACAGUAAAAAAAAAAAAUAUAUAUAUAUAUAUAUUAAAAACAAUAAAGACAUUGAAUAAAAAAAACAGUGAACACAAAGUAAUAAGAAAAAUGUAAAUAAAUUUAUAAAAAUUAAAAAUAAUAGAUGUAAAUGCAUUUAUAAAAAACUAAAAAUAAUUACCACAUAAAAAAAAACACUAAACACCUAAAAAAAUUUAAACACAAUUAUUAAAAUUAAAAAUAGUAAACAAAUAAUAAAAAAAAUGUAAAAACAAAAACACAAAAAACACAUAAUAACAAAUAAAUAUACAAAUAUAUUUAUAAAAAAUAAAAACAGUAGUUACAUAAAUUAAAAAGACAUGAUAAUAAAAAAUAUAAAACAUUAAACAAAUAACAAAAAAAAUACAGAACAGUAAUCAAAUAAUAAAAAAUUAAACAGUAAACACAUAAUAUAAAAAAUAUAAAUACAUUUAUAAAAAUAAAAAAUUUAUAAACACAUAUAAAAACAAAAAAAAUUAAAUACAUUUAUAAAAAUUAAAAUCUGUAUGUAAACCCAUAAAAAAGCAAACAAGACAAAAAAAACCUAAGAAAAAAAUUUAAAUACAAUUAUUAAAAUAAAAAAACAAUAAACACAUAAAAAAACUAAACAGUUUCUUGUUAUUAAAAAAAAUUAAAAAACAUUAAACACAUAAUAUAUAUAUAUAUAUAUAUAAAUAUAAUUAAGAAAUAAGUAAAUACAAUAAAAUAAAAUAAAAAUAAAAAAACUAAACAAUAAACACAUAAUAAAUAAAAAAAUAGUAAAAAAACAAUAAAGACAUAAUAAUAAAAGAAAAUGUAAAUACAAUUUUAAAAAAUUAAAAAUAAUAAACUACUUUUUUUAUGAAAUACAUUUAUAAAAUUAAAAAAUAGUAAAUACAAAAAAAAAAGUGUAAAUCCAUUUAUAAAAAUUAAAUACAGUAAACACAUAAUAAAUAAAAAAGUCAAAUAUAUUUAUAAAAAUUAAAUACAAUAAAUACAUAAGAAAAACUAAACAAUAGUACAAAUGCAACAAAAAAAUGUAAAUACAAUUAUUAAGAUUAAAAACAGUAGACAUAUAAAAAAAAUAAACAGUAUCUUGUUAAUAAAAAAGAUAUAAAAACAAUAAAGACAUAAUAACAAAUAUAUAUAUAAAAAUUAAAAACAAUAAAACAUAGAAUAAAAAAAACAACAAACACAAAAUAAUAAAAAAUAUAAAAACAGUAAACAAAUAAUAAUAAAAAUAUAACUUUUUUAUAAAAAAUAAAAACAAUAAACACAUCAACAAAUGUAAAUGCAUUUAUAACAACUAAAAAUGGUAUUAUUAAAAUUAAAAAUAAUAAACACAUAAAAGUAAUAAUAAAAAUGUAAAACAUUAAACACAUAAUAAUAUAAAAAAACAUUAAAGUUAUAAAAUAAAAACUAAACCGUAAACAUAAUAAUAAAAAUAUUUAAUUACCUUAUUCGUCCCUAUAUUUGGGGUCAAUAUUCAAUUUGAUACCGUGGUUUUUAAAAAAAUCAAUUUGGUACCGUGAUUUAAAAAAUAAUCAAUUUGGUCCCUAUGUCUUUUAAAAUGUAUCCAAAUUGGUCUUUCCGUUAAAUCCCUCCUAACAGCUAACAGCGUAAGGUGUUGCUUAUGAUAAAGAGAAUGUCUAUAUGGGGAGAGAGAUGUGAGAUUAUUAUUAUUAUUAUAGUUAUUAUUAAUACUAUUAUUAUUAUUGUUAUUUUUAUUACUAUUAUUAUUAAUAUUAUUUUUCUUAAUAUUAUUACUAUUAUUGAUAUUUUUAUUACUAUUAUUACUAUUAAUAUUAUUUUUCUUAAUAUUAAUAUUAUUAUUAUUACUAAUAAAAAAUAAAAUAAAAAUAGUAAUAAUAAUAAUAUUAAGAAUAAUAAUAAGAAAAAUAAUAUUAAUAAUAAUAAUAAUAAUAGUAAUAAUAAUAUUUAUAUUAAGAAUAAUAAUAAUAAUAAUAAUAAUUCUCAAUCUCACCUCUCCCUCCACAUAAACACUCUAUCUCCCACAUAAACACUCUCUCUAACCCACAUUCUUUCUGUGUCACAUAAGCAACACCUACGCUGUUAGGUGGAACUUAACGGAAAUGACCAAUUUGGAUACAUUUUAAAAUAUAUAGGGACCAAAUUGAUUUUUUUAAAAACCACGGUACCAAAUUGAAUAUUGACCCCAAAUGUAUGGACGAAUAAGGUAAUUAAAUAUAAUAAAAACUGUAAAACCAAUAAACACAUAAUAAUAAAAAAGAAAAGUAAAUACAUUUAGAAAAAUAAAAAACUGUAAACACAAAAUAUAAACUAAACAAUAAAUACAUAUAAAAGAGUAUAAAUAUUGUACUGUUACAGUCUAUAGGACUGAUAGCACGUCUCGAACUUCGUCACUGGAUCGACCGAGUCCCUAUGGCCUGUAUCUAUAAGGGCAAUCGAAAUCAUGAUUCCAAUUACUCUCCAGCAAGAUCAGCAAGGCUAAUCCAUGAUUAGGAGCUAGGUAAUGCAACCCUAAUCACGGUCCAACUCCCUAAUCCAACCCAACAAGAGAAAACUCGUCAAAGGUAAUAUAAAUAACACAUAUUCUAAGGAUCAGGUACAUUAUCUACCGUGCUCUAGCUAUCGAGUGUCGAACCCUUUUGUUGACUUUAGCGUCAAAGUGUCUUCUGCAUGUACUCUCAUUCGGUACUCACGAGACGACCGAGAACCGAGGCUAGGAAGGAAAGGAGAGGAACGAGUAAGAAAGGAAGUUGAAGAGUAGCACAACCGACCCAUAAAAAAGAAGAAGACGAGUUCUCUCAAUAGUUUUUUAGGCCCCAUCCCCGAACGAAAAUAAAUACAUUUAUUAAAAAUAAAAACAGUAAACAUAAUAAAAAAAUAGUUACCACACUUAAUAGAAAAAAACUCUAUAUAAAAAAAAAUUAUUAAAAACUUACGUGAAGGUGAAGGCAGAGAAGAAACCGUGUGAUAAACAUAACCAACCAAAGAACCACUGCAAUCAGACACAAGAAGAUGAACCAAGAUCCAAUCUGAAAAAAAAAAAAAAAACAGAAUGAAUUCCAAUAUUUUUCUCAAAUAAUGACUGAUAAGAUUAAUAAAAAAACUCACACAAAAAUUAAAAUAAAAUGCAACAAUUGUUAUGAUUUAAAGAAGAGGACGGCAACGAAUUUUCGAAACUUUAGACGAGUAAAAAGAAACGAGAUAGGUGAAUUAUAUAGCAAAACCUUUUACUAUAAUAGUAAAACAAAAUUAAGAAAAAAUGUUUAAUUAUUUAUUUUUUAUAUUUUAUUAAAGAAGGAAAUAAAUGGUUAUGUAUGGAGAGGGAAAAGAAUGAAAUUUGGGGAGGAAGGAAUAUGAGAGAAGAAAAGGAAAAGGAUAAAGUGUUGGAAGUGAGGAUUAAUUAUUUCUUAAUUAGAUAUUUAUUUAAAAAUAAUAGAAAUUAAUUUAAAAAUUAAAAAAGAAAAAUUUAAAUAAUUUUUAAUUUAUUUAAUAUUGUAAUUAAUUAUUUUGGUAUUUAAAAGUUGUUUUUUAUUUGAUGAUUGUCUUGUAGUAAUAGAUGACAAACCAUUAUAAUAUUAUAAUAAUAUUUUAUUUUAAAAAUUAAAUUAAAUUAUUAAAAUAUUAAUUUAUUUGUUUGUGAAAUUAUACUGUAUAUAGUGUCCACAUAUCACCAAUCAUUUAAAAUUCUCUACAUCACAAUUUACUGUCUUUUUUGUUUAGUAUGUGAAUUUAUCAGCUUAUUGUGAUUUUAGUUUCUCAAUUUACCCACAUCCCAGGUUAAUAUCUUUUUAAUUCCUAAAAUUAGUUACACAAUGUCAAUUAAGAGAUUAAAGUAGAAAUAAAAUGCUAAAUUCAGAAACUAAAAUACUCAUAAAUAAUUAAAUUCGGAGCUAAAACGAUAAAAUACAGUAAAGUCUGGGAUAAAAAAUUAAUAAAUAAAUAAUGAUAAAGUUAUAGUUUUACCUUAAUUUUUGAAUUUUAGUACUUUCAAAAACUGUUCUUUACCUGUUUUGUGCGACCAACUUAGCACACUGUUGUGUUUCGCGGCUGGGCUGCUUCAUUUCUCUACCACCACCAACAACCAUCGUCUUGUCACCUCAGAGUCAUCUACAGUUGUUCUUGGGGAUUUUGUGUUUUCAUUCACAUUUCACACUUACAUUAAAGGUAAAAACGAUUUUGAAUAUAUAGAUUUUGUUUGCAUAUUGCACCCAUUUUCUUUGUAUUCUUGGCACUGGCUUUUACUUUUUGGAAAAAGGGUUUGUCUCUAACAACGUGAGAAACUGUUGGAAUACCUGUUGGGAGAGAUUAAGCAUAGUGUUUGAAGCAAAAUUGUAUCUUGGAAUGGGAAACAAAAAGUUUAGACAACAGGGUUAACAAAACAAUACUCAUAUCCAUUCUCUCUAUAUUGGUUGUCAUGUACCUGGGUCUGAACAGUUAUACUAUGUUGCAUCUCAGUUCAAAAUGGUCAAAUUUUUCAUUUUCAUCAAUGUCAUUUGUUAUCAAUGUCAUGAUAUUUAGUUUCUCCAUUUGUUGUGUUUAAUGUUUGCUUUAUGAAAACAAGAGAGAUUUAUUCAUUAAUGCUAAGUAGUUAACUCUCUAUGGACUGUAGUAAUCUAAACAGUUUAGCUUUUUCACUUUCCAUUAUCAGUCCUUCUACACCUCUUUCUUCCAAGUCUUGCUACCAUGAAAAGUAGACAUGUCUAUAAUUAUGUGGUUCUGCAUCUAAAUUAUAAUAUAACACUAUAUUAAUAAAUUAGUUUCCAAAAUUAUGGAUUCUAGUUAAUUAGUAUAUGAAAUUGUAAAAGUAUAAUUGGAGUCAUCAAAGUUGGAGGAGUCAUUAUAAUAUUUCAGUACAAGAAUUAAAUUGGCUAAUGAUCUAGAACUAAAUUAUUUGUCAUUUUUUUAAUAUCUAGAAUUCAUAUAACAUUUUAUAAAUUAAAAAAAAACCAUAUGUAUAAAUGAUUUUAUUCAACAAGAGAAUCAUUAAUAAUGUAUUCUUUGUUCACCUCUGGACUCUGUCACUCUAUGUGUGUAUGUGUGUAUACACAGUCAAUUUUAAAUUUUAAAUAUGGUUUUAAUUCUUGUAAUCUACUUUCUGAUAUGUUUCUGGUCACUCUACACAAACUCAGCUUAUCUCUCAAUCUUAAAUAAUUAUGAUUUAAUUUACUGUUUAAAGAAAAAAAUCAGUUAAGUUGUAAAAAAAAAUUGUAUUGUUUUUUUCAUUUUUUUUUUAAAUUUUUAGAAAAUUAAACCAAAUUUUCUUUAAUUAUUUACUUUUAUUUUUUCAUCUUUUGUCCUGAACUUUAAUUGUAGAAUGUCCUAAAAAAACUAAACUCUGGAGAGCAUUAUUAAAAAGAAAAAAGGGAGAGAAUUGGUUGCUUGCUCGCGAAGUAUGAGGGUCUAAACAAAGUUAUAAUACUAUAUUUCCCAUUAUGAAUCUUUUAAAGAAGCAUUUUGUUUCAGUUUAUCGUAUACUCUUGGUUGACAAGUUUGUGAAGGAAAGGCCCCGAACACACAUUCAGAGCUUUAUUCACCAUUACUUCAAGGUAAAAGUUCUGAAUCAAAACCUCAUAUAUCUUUCUUCUGUAUCAAGUACAUGUUCUGUAAAUUGUUUUCUAUGACUGACUUCACUUGUUUUGAAUUUGAACACAUUUUAGAAUCACUUGAAAGAAAAUGGCAGAACAAAAUAAGGAAUGGGCUGUGGGAAUUGACCUUGGCACAACAUACUCAUGUGUUGCUGUAUGGCUAGAGGAACACUGUCGAGUGGAGAUAAUUCACAAUGAUCAGGGCUGUAGAACAACGCCUUCAUCUGUGGCUUUCACAGAGAAUCAAAGAUUGAUCGGUGAUGCUGCUAAAAAUCAGGCUGCUAUUAACCCAACUAACACUGUCUUUGGUAAAUAAUUGCUUUUUAUUGCAUGUGAAUUCAUUUAAAUGUUUAAACUAGUUAUUUGUGUUGGCUUUUAGUUGCAAAUGAUACCUUAACAUUCAUCAUUUACUUUGUGCCAAAAAGUAUACUUUUUGUCCAGUACUCUAAUUUGUUCUAUAACUUUAAAUUAAUAAAUAUCAUUCCAUAAGACUAUUUUGAUUAGCAUCAUUGAGGAAUAGCCUUAAAUUCGUGCUCGAUUAAUGACUAAUUUUGCAGAUGUGAAAAGGUUAAUCGGCAGAAGAUACAGUGAUCCCAUUAUCCAGGACGAUCUAAAGUUGUGGUCAUUUAAGGUCAUUGCUGAUUCUGAUGACAAACCCAUGAUAGCUGUUUCAUACAAAGGUCAGGAGAAACACAUUUCAGCUGAAGAAAUCUCAUCUAUGAUCCUCACAAAGAUGCGGGAGACUGCAGAAGCGUACUUGGAAUCAGGGGUUAAGAAUGUUGUGGUUACUGUGCCUGCUUAUUUUAAUGACUCUCAGCGACAAGCAACCAAAGAUGCUGGUACCAUUGCUGGCCUCAAUGUCAUGCGGAUAAUCAAUGAACCCACAGCUGCAGCUCUGGCAUACGGCCUUGACAAGAGAGCAAAAUGUGUUGUUGGAGAGAGAAAUAUUUUCAUCUUUGAUCUUGGUGGUGGUACAUUUGACGUGUCUCUGCUCACAAUCAAGGGUGAUGUCUUCAAAGUCAAGGCCACUGCUGGUGACACGCACCUUGGAGGAGAGGACAUGGAUAACAGAAUGGUAAAGUACUUCGUUGAGGAGUUCAAGAGGAAGAACAAAGUUGACAUCAAUGGGAACCGGAGAGCCUUGAGGAGGUUGAGAACUGCUUGUGAGAGAGCAAAAAUAAUAAUAAUAAUUGAAUGCGGACUGACCCACAAACUCAUGGGCCAGCACUUAUGCAGAGCGAGACCGAAAAUCACUCGUGCAAGAUUUGAGGAGCUCAACUUGGACCUCUUUAAAAGGUGUAUGGAGACAGUAGAUAUGUGUCUUGUUGAUUCUAAGAUGGACAAGAGUGAUGUAGAUGAUGUUGUUCUCGUUGGUGGUUCUUCUAGGAUUCCCAAAGUGCAACAGCUAUUGCAAGACUACUUCAAGGGGAAGGAACUGUGCAUGAGCAUCAACCCUGACGAGGUUGUUGCUUAUGGAGCAGCAAUUCCCAACUUAGUGUUAUUAGAUGCUACACGGCUGUCACUUGGUAUAUCUUUAAAAGGAGAUCUCAUGAGUGUUGUGAUUCCUAGGAACACCACCAUUCCUGUUGAGAAGAAAAAAGUAUAUGUUAAGAUCAGAAGAUUUCCCAAUCUUAUGUCCAAAGUAAAGGUUUACGAGUGUGAAAGGACAAUAGCAAGUGAUAACAAUUUGCUUGAUUUUUUUAAUCUUUAUGGCAGUCCUUAUGCUCUUUGAGGCCAUCCUUUAACUGUAAGUUUCAGUAUAGAUGUUGAUGGUACUUUAAGUGUAAUUGCUGAGGAAGAAAGCAGUGGAAGUAAGAACGGGAUUACUGUAACCAACGACAAGGGAAGACUAUCAACUCAACAAAUUAUGAGAAUGAUUCAAGAUGCCGAGAUAUACAAGGCUGAAGACCAGAAGUACCAAAAGAAAGUUCAAGCAAUUGAUGCUAGCCAGCAGACAGAAACAGAGGUGUUUGUGGAUCAUCUGAAUGAGGUGAAGAGCCUCAUUGAACUCAUUAUGAGGAUUAACUAGUUUGUUUCAAAACUCAAAUUUGGAAAAUCGAUUAUGCUUCUUGAAAAACAUCACAAUCGAUUUUUUAAAUUAUUCUGAAUGUAUAGUGUUGAUAAAAAAAAUAAGAUAAACCAGUUAUUUAGUUUCUCAAACCACUUUUCUUGUUCCUCAAAGCACGAGCUCUCUCGUUUUGUUCUAGGAAGAAGAGCAAAUCACAACAAACAAAACUAUCACAAAACUAAUUUUAUUUAUACACAAAGUUCACGUUCAUGAGUCUACAAUUUUUUUGUCAAGAUUCUUUUGCACCCAGCACUGUAAAGAAGAAAACCGAAAACUCAUUCACAUGCAGAUGCCUACAUUGUUUAAUAUAUUUGAUGGAAGGGUAACAAAAUAAAUUAGUAUUUGUGCUUCUAUAUUCCGCGCAAAUCUUCUCAGUUUUAUGAAGAGUGAAAAAACUAUCUACCCUGCUCUCCCAUCCGCACUCACACUCUCAUAUACACUCAUCCAAACAAAAACUCUUUCCACUUCCCUUCCUCCUCUUUUGUCACACCUUGAAGCAAAUAGGAUGUAAGAUUGAGGACAUGCAAAUGAACAAGAUUACGUGAACCUUCCUAACCCAUUAGACAUCAUAUGAUAGUUUUAUUUAUAUAUUGAUUUGAUCUAUUUAGAAAAAAUGUCAAAUCUAAGCAUUUAUAAGCAAAGUUGGAAGUUUUUAGAAAAUAGUAGGCUUGAACCUCUUUUAAGUUAUAGUAUUUUUUUUUUUAUGCUAUAUCAAUAUUAUAUGAGUUAAAAUUGUUUUAAAUAAUUUUCAUUUUUGAGAUCCAUCUAAUACUCCAAACCAAACAAGCAUUAUCAACAAUUCCAUUUUUAUGCAAAAUUCAUCCAUAGAUAAAAAUAAAACAUGCAACAAAAAUAACUAACUGAAAAAUAAAUUAUACACCAUAAUAACUUUAUAUUAUCAUACAAUGACACAGUGUAAAAUAAAGAUAUUAACUUUUACUAUUAUCAAAACUUUAUCUGCCAAACGUUUAAAAUCAAACAAUUUCAACAAAAUCUUUAAAUUUUAUUGGACUUUCCUCAUCUGUAUCUAUUUCUACAGAAAUGGCUUUAACUGCUUACUCGUAUUAACAGCUACUUUCGUAUAAAAUAUAUGUUGACAAAUUAUUCAUGGGCAUAAUUUAUUCUAAAUUUUUCACCAAACACUUGCAAAUAUCACUCAAUUCACAAGAUAAACCGGGCCAUAAAUUAUCUAUUCCAGACGAAACCAUGAAGCAUAAAAUUGACAACUGAAAGUAGCUAAAUAAACUAAAAGUUCAUGAAAAUCGAGAGUUAUUUUCGUAACUUCAGAUAAGCCUUUUUCAAAAGCGAUAAAAAUGAACUCCUACUCAACCGUACAAAAUACUAAAAAUGUAGAAAAUAUCAAUACACCAAUUCUUCCAUCUUAACAAUGCAAUGCUACAUAGUAUCACUAGCAAAAUAAAACCGGUAAAACACAACUAAAAAAAAAGAUAGUCCCAGGGAACAGCAAGGGGACAAAAAUAUCAACUCUGAGGCGAUGCUUUAGCAACGGCAGUCUGAGGCUGAGUGUUCCCACUGGCAUUACCAUCGGCAGUAUAUGCUGGAGCCUGAGUAUAACCAGCACCAUAAGAACUACUGCUGUAUGGAGGCGGUGCCUGACCAUAAGUAGGCUGGCCACCCUGAGGUGCACCAUAUGUUUGAGAACCAUACCCUGGUUGCCCUGCACCAUAUCCCGAAGGUGGUGCUCUCUGAGCACCAGAUUCUGGUUGGGGUUGAGAAUAACCAGAUGGUGGAGGCUGCGCAGGAUAUGCUGACUGACCAUAGCCUCCUACCGCACUAGGUGACUGUGACUGUCCAUAAACAGGAGGAUUAGCACUUGGCUUUUGAGAUUGAGGGGCUCCAUAACCUGGCUGUGGUUGACUUCCAUAAGCAGCUUGGGAUGUAGGGGGAACCCCAUAACCUGACUGAGGAGUUCCCUGAGGUGGGUAGCUGGCAGUGUUUGAGCUGGGCUGUUGGCUGGUAGGAUAACCUUGCUGUGGCUGUUGGGUAGAUGGAGCUUGGGCUGAAUCUCCCUGAGAUGCAUAACUUGCAGUGUGGCCAUCUGGUGCUGAGUUAUUCCCACUACCAUAGCCGGUAGUAGCUGACCCAUAGCCUUGCUGCUGAUCAUAUGCUGGUGGCUGUCCAUACCCUGAUUGAGAUUGUGCAUUGUAUGCAUUAUAGCUGUCCUGAGCAUAACCCUGUC